CUUAUGUGGACUGCCUGGGAAAUGAACUCAGUAGGGCAGGCUUUGCAAGCAAGGGCCUUUACCAGCUGAGCCAUCUUCCCAGCCCCGCACCACCAUCUUACACAUGGGAAAAAUGAUGGAAUCAUUGCAAAGUCCUCCACCUGCUUCUGCUCCAGGUGUUUCUUUUGCAAAACAAGACGGAAUAUUCUGGCACAGCGAGACCCAAAUCUGGAAAGGAACAAAGAAUGCAAACAGCAUGCCAACACAGCUUAGCUCCAGCUCCUAGUCUUGGAGGGCGGGUGACUGUGCCACACAUGGAGCCAGGACUGGAGAGAAGCAGGACUUAGAAUUCUUCCACAGCUCCAUGGGCGGGCGAUGGGCAACUGCUCGCCCAUCUGAAUGCCACAGUUCUUGUAUUGCUCUCAGUGAGAGCUGUUAACUUCACAACUGGGAAUUAGCAGUAGGCUUUAGAGUUAAGACUGGUCUGGUGGAAAAAUGUAACAAAAUGAUGGCAUGGUGGCGCCAACCUUUAAUCCCAGCACGGGGGAAGCAGAGGGAGGAGUAUAACUGUGAGUUCCAGGUGAGCCUGGGCUACCGUGAAACCUUCCCUGGAAAACAAGCAAAAAAGAGACAAGAGCCUCCAAGGUGAACCUACAACAAUCAAGCUAUGUGUUGAAAUGGGGUGUGGACAGGAAGUAUCUAAGCCCAAGUCCAACCCCCCCCUUACCUCUCCUGUAUGACAGACUCCAGGGUCGCUGUGGCUAGGGAUGCUAAUGCCUUAUGAAGGUCUAUAUGUAGAGGAUUAAGGUCUCUCAGUAAUGUUUCAGCCUGAUCACUGUGACUAAAGACUUAGAAUAAAGUUCCUAAUUUACUUUUUUAA